ACUCAACUUGAGCUCGGCAGUAAAAGCAGAGAGGCAAAGAAAACACUUGUGCCCUGGGCCUGCCCUCUCCGGGUGUGGCAGCCUAGGGGGAGAAGUAUCAGCCCACCUGAGUCUGGGUUUGUGCAGAAACUUCCCUGGCGGAAAAGGCGUCGUAAAAGGGGUUUAAGAAAUCCCACUGGAUGCUUUCCCAGAGCCUUGGUGUUACGGCGCUCAGCUCCAAUGCACAGACUGCGCUACGAAGGCGCCCUGCGCAGGGAUUGGCUGCAGCACCCAGCAAUAAUCAACUAUCUUACUAUCUGUAGUAAGUAGCUACUACAAAAUGUUAUGGCACAAUUGACAAUGACAUUAUACUACACAAACUUUCACCUCUGUCCUCAAGACAUUUUUACCAAAGAAGGGUUUUGAUUAUUCUGAACUCUAAGACUACUUCAAGACAAAAAGGAGGGAAGAACAUGUGCCAAGACACAGAUGUGCAGACCCAGUGCUGCCGGGAGGAUGGGGACAAGGAAGACAUCAAUGUGGUGAAUGAUGACUCAGGUUAGGGAUGGCAGGAGAGGAACUGAAAAGAAAGAUUGUGUUCUAACGAUGCAGUAAAGAAUCUGGAUCUCACCCAGUAAGCAGCAGAAAAGGCUCAAAGGACAUUUUUUCUCCAGAGACAUUAUCCAUUGGUUUUUUUAGGGAAAACAAAAUAACACCUGGUCAUGCUAUAGAGCAUUAACUGGGGAAGAGAGAAUGAGUGAGAGAAACACUGUUGCAACUAUCAGAGCAAGAGAUGAUGGGACCUAGUUUAGGGCAGUGAGAGUGUGUGCGUGGAGUGGAGGGGGCUCAUUUUGGAAAUCUUUCUGAGGCAUAGGCAAUGGUACUUAGUGUUCCACUGAUACUAUGGGUAAAGGAUGAGGGGUCAAAGUGGAGAGUGACUUCCUUAACCAAAGGAGGACAAGAAAAAGAAGCGAUGUUGCCGAAUGACAUUUACAAAAGUGUAUUUUCUAGUUGCAAGGAGUCUGAGAUACCUACGGAUUCUCCAAACAGGAUACCUAUAGACAGCUGAAAAUACAAGACUGGUUUUACACAGCAAUGUCAGAGCUGAAGAGACAGGUGAUAAUCACAGGCAUGAAUGUAUUGAAGUUACUGAGGGACUACAAAGUGAACAUAACUGGGAACAGCACCAUCAAAACGAUCAGCAUUUAAAGAGCAGGGAGUGGGAAGAGCCAAUGAUUGAAGCUGAGACUAAACUAACUGAAGAGAAAAUCAAGGCACAAUUCUUGCUAUAAUAUCCGAAGAGGGAACUUGCGGCAGACGGACUGGAGGGUGGGAUUUGCAUUCCUGUUUGGAGUCAGGAUUUCCAUGGUCUACACCUCAUGUGUUGCAUGUAGACGUUCAAGGUAUUUUUAUUGUGAUAUGUCAGCACACAGAAUUGGAAGGCAUGUCACAAGGUCAGGAGUUCGAGUUCUGUUGAUAGUCUCAGACCUCUUCCAACUUCAACAAGGUCAACAAGAUAAACCACAAACCUGGAUGAGUUCAUGUUAUUCCAGAUGCAUUAUCUCCUAAUCUUCAGGAAGAGGCUCCUUCAGCGGGAAGGAGCAUGGCAGGAUCUUCCCUGAAAAAACAGAAAUAGCCGUGUCUAAUCCCUGCUCUGCCUGGAAAGGAAAAGGCUCACCUACUUCCCAUGUCAAGGCAAGAAUCAGAAUUCCUCUCAAAUUCUUAAAACAUUGCAAAGUAAAGACAGAUACUAACUCUAAAUAUGAUUCAUGCUCAAGUUAUUAAAAAUGGAAUACAUUGUACCAGAAGGAAAAUGGUAAACAAUUUUAAAUUCCAAAGGCAAGGGAAUGUUUUUGGUUUAAUAACCAGAGUAUGGCUUCAACAGGAGCUUAUGUAGUAUACACACCAUAAUUAAAUCUAAUUCAAUCACCUGAGUAAUCAAGUGGUUAAGCGAAUAAACUAAGUAAUCAAUCGUAAAAGUGAUUUGCUGUUUAGAAGAAAGAAGUUGUAAUAUGUGUGCCAAUAUUUUUAAAGAAUAAGGAAUCUCAGGUCUUCAACUCUGUCAACAAUUAUUAGCAUUGUUUUGUUUCAGUCUUCUUAUUUACAGAGUAAAAAGACCAUUCAUUCAUUCAACAAGUAUUUAUGGAAAGCAGCAUUUUCUGAACAUGAUUCCUGCACUCAAGGUGUUUUACAAUCAUGUGGCCUGCCACUUUAUUGAAGAUGUUUUAGGGAAAACAAUUAACUUUUGACAAAGUUCAGAAUUAUUCAAACAUAACAUAAAUGGCCAAUGAAUCUUUUCAGAGAAAGCAUAGUCUAGUGGAUAAAUAUUUACACUAGUCUGCCCCUGAGUCUUACAAUUUUUCUAUGUCCAUUUUUCCUCACUCUGUAAUGGUGGGCAGACAGAAGGUGGGGCUAGCUGACCUUCAAAUUCCCUUCCAAUUUUUAUGAAAUACAAUUUUUAGUAUUAAGUGAGUAAUCACAUUGUGCAAGGUGCUUACCUGGAUAUAGCUCAGUUCUUUUUCUGAUUGCAAGAACAGAGCAAGAUGGAACCAUGAACUGCUAAACGACCCAUGGCAAUUUUUAAAGGAUUCCUCAAGCAGAUGGUUCUCUGGUAGUUCUUACAGCAGGAAAAGCCCCCUACAGUUCACAAAAGAGUCAAGUUGCAUUCUUCCAAACUGUCCUGAUUUUGCCGAUUUGCACAAUCUAAUAAAAUCUUUCCAUCAUAUUUCUCUUUUCCAUUUGUGGACCACUACUCAGUGAGUACAUUUAUUAUGUGUGGCUAAUAAUUUACUUUUUUGUUCUUUUUUGUUGUAAAAGCGUCAUAUUAACUACCUUUUGAGCGCAUGAAAAUGCAUAUUCGAAACAUUGCUGAGUUCAGAUUGAUUGAAUUUGACUGUGACCUUAGUGAGCCAUUCAUUUAUUCAACAAGGUUUGAUUGAACAUUUACCAUCCUAUCACUUCAGCCCACACAUUGGACAACCAAUCAGAGUUAUCACACUUCUUAGGGCAUAAAACAGAUACAUAUUCAUUAAGUUACAUAUUCCCAGUCCAAAUUAGCUUGACCCAAUUCAAGUCUUCCUUCAGAUUUUUAGAGUUCUUGCCAAAUCGUUUUCCUAUUCCCAUUUUCUCUUCACUUCCCAUUGCCCUCUUGUCCUCAAUUUCUUUUGUGUUCAUUCUCUCUCUUCUUCUUGUUUUCAGUUUCUGUCUUCUCUUUCACAAAGUUUUCUCACUUAGCUAUAAUGUAUGUUUAAUAAUACACUAUUUCAUUAUUGUGUUACUCAAAAUCCUCAAGCCACUUUAUCUCAAGAUGCAAAUACCUAGACCUCAGGUUCAAAGCUAAUAAUCUAA
rnacentral:lncRNA from 10 species